rnacentral:rRNA from 1 species
UUAAGCGACUAAGCGUACACGGUGGAUGCCCUGGCAGUCAGAGGCGAUGAAGGACGUGCUAAUCUGCGAAAAGCGUCGGUAAGGUGAUAUGAACCGUUAUAACCGGCGAUGUCCGAAUGGGGAAACCCAGUGCAAUUCGUUGCACUAUCGUUAACUGAAUACAUAGGUUAACGAGGCGAACCGGGGGAACUGAAACAUCUAAGUACCCCGAGGAAAAGAAAUCAACCGAGAUUCCCCCAGUAGCGGCGAGCGAACGGGGAGCAGCCCAGAGUCUGAAUCAGCUUGUGUGUUAGUGGAACGGUCUGGAAAGUCCGACGGUACAGGGUGAUAGUCCCGUACACCAAAAUGCACAGGCUGUGAACUCGAAGAGUAGGGCGGGACACGUGGUAUCCUGUCUGAAUAUGGGGGGACCAUCCUCCAAGGCUAAAUACUCCUGACUGACCGAUAGUGAACCAGUACCGUGAGGGAAAGGCGAAAAGAACCCCGGCGAGGGGAGUGAAAAAGAACCUGAAACCGUGUACGUACAAGCAGUGGGAGCACCUUCGGGUGUGACUGCGUACCUUUUGUAUAAUGGGUCAGCGACUUAUAUUCUGUAGCAAGGUUAACCGUAUAGGGGAGCCGCAGGGAAACCGAGUCUUAACUGGGCGUUAAGUUGCAGGGUAUAGACCCGAAACCCGGUGAUCUAGCCAUGGGCAGGUUGAAGGUUGGGUAACACUAACUGGAGGACCGAACCGACUAAUGUUGAAAAAUUAGCGGAUGACUUGUGGCUGGGGGUGAAAGGCCAAUCAAACCGGGAGAUAGCUGGUUCUCCCCGAAAGCUAUUUAGGUAGCGCCUCGUGAAUUCAUCUUCGGGGGUAGAGCACUGUUUCGGCUAGGGGGUCAUCCCGACUUACCAACCCGAUGCAAACUACGAAUACCGAAGAAUGUUAUCACGGGAGACACACGGCGGGUGCUAACGUCCGUCGUGAAGAGGGAAACAACCCAGACCGCCAGCUAAGGUCCCAAAGUCAUGGUUAAGUGGGAAACGAUGUGGGAAGGCACAGACAGCCAGGAUGUUGGCUUAGAAGCAGCCAUCAUUUAAAGAAAGCGUAAUAGCUCACUGGUCGAGUCGGCCUGCGCGGAAGAUGUAACGGGGCUAAACCAUGCACCGAAGCUGCGGCAGCGACACUAUGUGUUGUUGGGUAGGGGAGCGUUCUGUAAGCCUGCGAAGGUGACCUGUGAGGGUUGCUGGAGGUAUCAGAAGUGCGAAUGCUGACAUAAGUAACGAUAAAGCGGGUGAAAAGCCCGCUCGCCGGAAGACCAAGGGUUCCUGUCCAACGUUAAUCGGGGCAGGGUGAGUCGACCCCUAAGGCGAGGCCGAAAGGCGUAGUCGAUGGGAAACAGGUUAAUAUUCCUGUACUUGGUGUUACUGCGAAGGGGGGACGGAGAAGGCUAUGUUAGCCGGGCGACGGUUGUCCCGGUUUAAGCAUGUAGGCUGGUUAUCCAGGCAAAUCCGGAUAAUCAAGGCUGAGGUGUGAUGACGAGGCACUACGGUGCUGAAGUAACAAAUGCCCUGCUUCCAGGAAAAGCCUCUAAGCAUCAGGUAACAUCAAAUCGUACCCCAAACCGACACAGGUGGUCAGGUAGAGAAUACCAAGGCGCUUGAGAGAACUCGGGUGAAGGAACUAGGCAAAAUGGUGCCGUAACUUCGGGAGAAGGCACGCUGGUGUGUAGGUGAAGCCCCUGCGGGUGGAGCUGAGACCAGUCGAAGAUACCAGCUGGCUGCAACUGUUUAUUAAAAACACAGCACUGUGCAAACACGAAAGUGGACGUAUACGGUGUGACGCCUGCCCGGUGCCGGAAGGUUAAUUGAUGGGGUUAUCCGUAAGGAGAAGCUCUUGAUCGAAGCCCCGGUAAACGGCGGCCGUAACUAUAACGGUCCUAAGGUAGCGAAAUUCCUUGUCGGGUAAGUUCCGACCUGCACGAAUGGCGUAAUGAUGGCCAGGCUGUCUCCACCCGAGACUCAGUGAAAUUGAACUCGCUGUGAAGAUGCAGUGUACCCGCGGCAAGACGGAAAGACCCCGUGAACCUUUACUAUAGCUUGACACUGAACAUUGAGCCUUGAUGUGUAGGAUAGGUGGGAGGCUUUGAAGCGUGGACGCCAGUCUGCGUGGAGCCAACCUUGAAAUACCACCCUUUAAUGUUUGAUGUUCUAACGUUGGCCCCUGACCGGGGUUGCGGACAGUGUCUGGUGGGUAGUUUGACUGGGGCGGUCUCCUCCCAAAGCGUAACGGAGGAGCACGAAGGUUAGCUAAUCCUGGUCGGACAUCAGGAGGUUAGUGCAAUGGCAUAAGCUAGCUUGACUGCGAGCGUGACGGCGCGAGCAGGUGCGAAAGCAGGUCAUAGUGAUCCGGUGGUUCUGAAUGGAAGGGCCAUCGCUCAACGGAUAAAAGGUACUCCGGGGAUAACAGGCUGAUACCGCCCAAGAGUUCAUAUCGACGGCGGUGUUUGGCACCUCGAUGUCGGCUCAUCACAUCCUGGGGCUGAAGUAGGUCCCAAGGGUAUGGCUGUUCGCCAUUUAAAGUGGUACGCGAGCUGGGUUUAGAACGUCGUGAGACAGUUCGGUCCCUAUCUGCCGUGGGCGCUGGAGAAUUGAGGGGGGCUGCUCCUAGUACGAGAGGACCGGAGUGGACGCAUCACUGGUGUUCGGGUUGUCAUGCCAAUGGCACUGCCCGGUAGCUAAAUGCGGAAGAGAUAAGUGCUGAAAGCAUCUAAGCACGAAACUUGCCCCGAGAUGAGUUCUCCCUGAGACUUUAAGUCUCCUGAAGGAACGUUGAAGACGACGACGUUGAUAGGCCGGGUGUGUAAGCGCAGCGAUGCGUUGAGCUAACCGGUACUAAUGAACCGUGAGGCUUAACCU